CUCAACUCUUCUCUCAUACAGCACCCUGAAUGAUAGAAAGAAACAACCAAAGUUCUCGUGUUUGAACAAAUUUUGUUUUGAGUUAUAUCAUGGCUGCUUGUGAAGUAUUAUUUUGCGUGUUUUAUUUAAUUCAGUGAUCUGCAGCCUAAUUAAAGUUUAAAUUAUAGAAGCACGCAUUUUUAAACAAUUAAAACGUAAAAUAAAAGUUUUCUAAAGCCAAAAUAUGGAAUUGAAGAUGUUGAUACAGUAAUACUUCAUUACACUGUCAAUUCGAAGCACGCAAUAGAAGCUACGCCAACAAUGAUCAACAUCAAUGGCGAAACCAUUGAAUACAUAUUUCAAACCUCAUAUGGCGCGUUAAAGGUACACAAACUUAUUGGUGUCACUUAUUGUAGCAGCGUAGAACUUUCGAAGCGAUUGAAUAUGUGCUGCAAGCAAAUUCAGAAGUAUGGAUAUGCUACAUGGAACGCAAAUCAUUUACACAGCAGAUAUUAAGUUUAAUGUCAUUUUUUUACGUGCAAUUAAACCUUUUGGUCAACACAAGCACGACAAUUCGAACAUGGAAUUGGACAUGGUUUAGGUGCCUUUGAAACCGACGUGUGUCAACUGGGUUUUGCCAAUGAGCUAGAGGACAAAGCAGUUUCAGUAUUUUUGGGCUUAUCGGCACUUGGCCGUGCCAUUAGCAGCUACAACACAGAAAUUAAAGGAUAAAUUUAAGUGAAUGUUUGUGCUCAUAGAAAUUUAAAAACUUUUUGUAUGUUUAAUUAGGAGGACUUUUUUGAUUCAUUUUCACCUUGUAUUGAGGAAUCAUAAAGUUGUUGUAUCGCUUUACAAGGACAUAAAUUCACCGAAGUUAGUUCAAUGAAAAUAAUACAGCAAGAGCAUGGAUGUUAAGACUUGAACGGUGCCGUGCUAGAUUUAGAAUUCCUGAAACAUAAGCAACCCUCCCUCCCAGAUGAAUCAAGUACUAGUGAAAAUAAUGAAAGAACAGAUCUUAUAAAAACUCCUAAAGCAACCAAAAGAGUUCUCACAUAAUGUGCGCAGCUUACACUUCCAGCCCGCACGGGGUAUGUGAGAUUUGCAACUCUUUCUCCAGCCUUUGUCUGAUUGCAAAAAUUGUUCAACUAUUCAAUUCUUUAUACAUAUGUAUAUAGCGUAGUACGAU